rnacentral:rRNA from 12 species
UUAGGGUUGUAAAGCACUUUCAGCAGGGAGGAAGGCUUUAGCUUAAUACGCUGAAGUACUUGACGUUACCUGCAGAAGAAGCACCGGCUAAUUUCGUGCCAGCAGCCGCGGUAAUACGAAGGGGGCUAGCGUUGUUCGGAAUUACUGGGCGUAAAGCGCACGUAGGCGGAUCGUUAAGUGAGGGGUGAAAUCCCAGGGCUCAACCCUGGAACUGCCUUUCAUACUGGCGAUCUUGAGUUCGAGAGAGGUGAGUGGAAUUCCGAGUGUAGAGGUGAAAUUCGUAGAUAUUUGGAGGAACACCAGUGGCGAAGGCGGCUCACUGG